UACGUAGGGUGCGAGCGUUGUCCGGAAUUAUUGGGCGUAAAGAGCUCGUAGGCGGUGUGUCGCGUCGGUCGUGAAAACUUGGGGCUUAACCCUGAGCUUGCGGUCGAUACGGGCAGGCUCGAGUUCGGUAGGGGAGACUGGAAUUCCUGGUGUAGCGGUGAAAUGCGCAGAUAUCAGGAGGAACACCGGUGGCGAAGGCGGGUCUCUGGGCCGAUACUGACGCUGAGGAGCGAAAGCGUGGGGAGCGAACAGG
rnacentral:rRNA from 1 species